UACAGAGGGUGCAAGCGUUGUUCGGAAUUAUUGGGCGUAAAGCGCGUGUAGGCGGCUUUGCAAGUCGGGUGUGAAAGCCCUUGGCUCAACCAAGGAAGUGCGCCCGAAACUGCAGAGCUUGAGUACCGGAGAGGAUGGCGGAAUUCCCCAAGUAGAGGUGAAAUUCGUAGAUAUGGGGAGGAACACCGGUGGCGAAGGCGGCCAUCUGGACGGAUACUGACGCUGAGACGCGAAAGCGUGGGUAGCAAACAGG
rnacentral:rRNA from 1 species